rnacentral:rRNA from 1 species
AACGAACGCUGGCGGCAGGCUUAACACAUGCAAGUCGAACGCAUCGCAAGAUGAGUGGCAGACGGGUGAGUAACGCGUGGGAACAUACCCUUAUCUACGGAAUAGCUCUGGGAAACUGGAAUUAAUACCGUAUACGCCCUACGGGGGAAAGGUUUAUCGGGGAAGGAUUGGCCCGCGUUGGAUUAGGUAGUUGGGGGGGUAAAGGCCUACCAAGGCGACGAUCCAUAGCUGGUCUGAGAGGAUGAUCACCCACAUUUGGACUGGGAAACGGUCCAAACUCCUACGGGAGGCAGCAGUGGGGAAUAUUGGACAAUGGGCGCAAGCCUGAUCCAGUCAUGCCGCGUGAGUGAUGAAGGCCUUAGGGUUGUAAAGCUCUUUCACCGAUGAAGAUAAUGACGGUAGUCGGAGAAGAAGCCCCGGCUAACUUCGUGCCAGCCGCCGCAGUAAGAC